UACGUAGGGGUCGAGCGUUGUCCGGAGUUACUGGGCGUAAAGCGUGCGCAGGCGGCGGUCUGCGCCCGGCGUGAAAGCCCCCGGCUCAACCGGGGAGGGUCGUCGGGGACGGGACCGCUUGAGGGUAUCAGGGGCUGGUGGAAUUCCCGGUGUAGUGGUGAAAUGCGUAGAGAUCGGGAGGAACACCCGUGGCGAAGGCGGCCAGCUGGGAUACACCUGACGCUGAGGCACGAAGGCGUGGGGAGCGAACGGG
rnacentral:rRNA from 1 species